UCAGGUAAGAUGGUAUAAGCACCAAUAAUAUCAUACUGAAACAGAAUAUGCUUCCAUUUUAGACUAUGCAUACAUUGUUAAUAUAUUACUUUCACUGUAGGAACUUGCAAUGCUAACUCAAUCCAUAGCAGAAUUUGAUGAUAUGGACAUUGAUAAGUCACCAAGAAAUUGGGAUGACACACCAGCUGCAACUAAAAGAAGGCCUUAUGAUGAUAUUGAGGAUGAUGACAAAAAGCAUGUCUUUAAGAAAGGCAAGAAAUCUGAUAUGCAGCCAUCAACCAAGUAAAAAAUUACAACAGAUAUUGGCCAUGCAACAACUAUUUUGAUGCUUACUUCAAAACCACCUUUUGUCACUUCUUGUGUCCCAGCCAAACACACCAAUAUCUAUACUGCUUUUGUGACAAACACAACUAUAUUCACAAUGCUUUGGAAGUGGCUCUUCUUUUGGUGUAUAUAAUGCCAUCUUCUUACUCUGUUUCUUCACAAGUUGGGUUAUGUGAUAGUUCAAACACUAAAUAUCCCUCUUGCGAAUAUAUUUAUAUAUUGUGUGUCGAACCAUGAAUUAAUAUGAACAUUUAUGUAUAUAUAUCCCUAUUCAACUUCUUUGUCA